rnacentral:rRNA from 1 species
AUUGAACGCUGGCGGCAGGCCUAACACAUGCACGUCGAGCGGAGCGGCGGACGGGUGCGUAAUGCCUAGGCAUCUGCCUUUUCGUGGGGGAUCACGUCCGGAACCGGGCGCUAAUACCGCAUCCUAUCAGAUGAGCCUAGGUCGGAUUAGCUAGUUGGUGGGGUAAAGGCCUACCAAGGCGACGAUCCGUAACUGGUCUGAGAGGAUGAUAAGUCACACUGGAACUGAGACACGGUCCAGAAUCAUACGGGAGGCAGCAGGGGGGAAGAUUGGACAAUGGGCGAAAGCCUGAUGCAGCCAUGCCGCGUGUGUGAAGAAGGGCUGCGGAUUGUAAAGCACUUUAAGUUGGGAGGCGUUACCAACAGAAUAAGCACCGGCUAACUUCGUGCCAGCAGCCGCGGUAAUAC